CAGAGGGACAAAUCGGUGUCCUACUUCUCCCUGGGCUGGCCUGCUGGGAGCAGAUGCUUUUUUAAGAACUCACACAAAGGCUGCGUUCAUUCCUCCCUUGUCCCGUCCUGCCUUUCUGUUGUGCUUCCUAAUUGCUGCAUAAGGCCACAUCCUGGUGAGAAAACAAAAGCCAUCUAUUUGAAACAACGAAAGGAUGAAAUCUCAGUUCACUGCAGCUGUCCUUGCAGCUACUGACAGCCCUACGAGUUUGGUCUGGAAAUACAUUUCAGCUGGAAAAUUAGAAAUUCAUGAGUGGUGCAAAUAUCUGAAAUCCUUCUCUGCAGGUAGAAUGGUCCAAGGCUGGAAUAACUGAUGUAUAGUAAAUAUUUCUCUCUUGGCAGCCAAAACAUGCAGCUAGUGUAUAUGUUUGGCAACUGUGUCUCUGUUGAGUGUUUUGGCAGUAUACUCAUGUUUACAUCCCUCACUCCUCACUUCCUUCCUUUGCAGCGGAGGCAUGCUGUAAGUGGUGGGAUAGAAACAAGCUCUACUGUCACUUAGCAACUCCGCUGGCUUUGAGAUGUAGACUUUUUUCCUUCCUGGACUUCCCAGCACAAAAAGAGAUGGUCACAUACCUCAUCACAUGGCUAAGGCUUGAGGCUGCAGCCAGCUAGGGGUGCUUUUGUCUGGUCCAGCCUGAAUCCCUCUUGAAGCAUUGCAUCUGUGUCCUGCUGCUGCUCCAGUGGGCAAGGCACUGGAAGUUAACGGGUCAGCCCUGGGUUUUGUCAUCUUGGGUGCAAGGAUACAGCUGGUUGUGCCCAGCCAUGAAGGCUCUUUAGUCCAGGGUGACUCUGUGGCCAGGCAGCUGGCAAGGUAGACUAUGAGGCAGGCAGUAGCGGUGUGCUACGCAUAUAGUCCAUAUGGUGUAACUCCUCAGGUGUCACAGCCCAGAUCCCAGCUCUUCAGAAGGACUGGAAGUGGCUGGGCUCUCAGGAAGAUGGUGGAUGUGGAUGGGGACAUAUUGGCACUGGCUAAAAAUAUUUCAAGCAGUUGGGAGAGAUUCUGCAGUUAUAAAAGGUGCAGGGACUGAGCACAGAGGCUCAUCCCCUCUGGCUGGGAAGAGUUUUUGUGGGGUGAGCCUGGCCAGGAUGCUGCUGCUGCCUGGUCAUGGCAGGAUCACAGCACAGCAAGGGCUGCAACAGCCGCAUCCCAGAGGCUGGAAGUGCCUGGGAAAUAUUUUGUGCAUGAAAUGUUCCCUUGGCAAAGUACUUGGCUUGCCUGUCUUUGUGACCAAGGAAGCAGGCAUGCUGCCAGGCUGCAGCAAGGGAGUACAGCUCUCUCCUGGGGUACCCAGGGCUGCAGGAAACACCUCUGCAGGCUGCAUUGCAGCACGGUGGCUGUUUUCUGCCCUGCAACUAGAUGCAUCCAAUUAAAAGAUGCAGCUGGAGGUCACAGGAUAGGGGAGAGGCCACCAUGCCAGAUAGGAUAGGAAUGGGGGGUGCCACAGUUCUGUGAUCUGAGUGUCAGAAUUGCCACAGGCUGCAAGGGAGAGGCAGAAAGCCUCCUCUUUACAGGGGGAAAGCACUCUGGCUUUCUUUUUCUGGCUUUGUGUCUUUUGCAGCUUCAAGGUCUGACCUCUCCUCCAAGUAUACAGGCAUAAUGCAGACUGGGACCUUCAUGCCAGCACUACAGAGCCAAGUGCUGCUGAGACCCUGGUUGCUCCCCUGUGCAUGGGGCUCCUUGCCCACAUCUCCUCAUGCUUUGUGCCCAUCAGCUGCCUGAACAGCUCUGCAAGACUCUGGGUCUGUAUUUGCAGCAAGAAUGAGGUGAGGAAAGUCCCUGGAGAGAUUAUUCAUGAAGGAGCCUGCCUCUUCUAAAUACUUCCUGGAGAGAGGAUGCAGCCUCAUUGGUGCUCUGCUUCCCCUGGGGUCCUGCCUGCUCUUGUGGCAGGGGAGCAUGCCUGGCUCUUCACUGCAGGUGUCUGCAAAGCUCCACUCUGGUAGUUUAUAUAUAACCUAUUUUUCAUGAAAUGAAUUGCACUGGUGUGUGUUUAUAAAGCAGCCUGGGGAUCUGAUCCAAAUGUCCUCAGUUUUAACAUCACACUGCCUGUUUAGGAGCAAGUGUCUGUGGAUAUAAGUUUGUGGCUCAGAUGCUACAGCUGCACCCUGAAGCCAGACUAUUUUUGCCAUAUAUAUUUUUUUUGAAAUCAGGGAAGGACAAACUUGCUGUCUGUAGGCUUGAUCUGAAUUGCACUGGAGGCUUUAGCAAGAUAGGGAUCCUUGGCAAGCUGUGCAAGAGCUGGUGACAUAUGGAAGCGAACAGACUACACUGAUAGAGGCAGCGGUACUCGUGGGGCUGGCCUGCCCCCCUGGGGAGCAGGGCACCCUUCCCUCCAUGCUGGGGAAAUGUGGCUGCGGAAGGUCGUUUCUCCUUGCCAAGCCUGGCAUGUGGCCAAAGGAAAUGAUAAAAACCAUGGGGCAAAACUGAGCGCAGGUUAACAACAGAGCAUGUUUAGGUGCUAACCAGUGAGCAAUUCAGCUCUGUGUUCCUGGGAAUUGUACCUGGUGCUCCACAGGAAAAGAGUUUAUUUGCAUGGCCCUCUGAUGCUGGUUUGGGUCUUUUUUUCCAGGGUUAUUCAGGUUAUUGCAAGAAGCUUUGCAAUGGUCUCUUGCUAGUACAAUCCCUUUUAAUUUAUUCACUCUGAAUCAGCAAAUUCAGAAAGCCAGGCUGGGCUCUGCAUGGGGGUUUGGGACAAGCUGUCUGGAGAAGACAGAAAAAUCAGAGACCUGAGGGUUCGCUCAGGUGCCCUUCCUCUUUUCUUCAUUGCUGUCUUGAAAUUGUUGGAAAAAUGAGCACCCUCUUGAUAAUGUGGGCAUGCAUAAUGAAAAUGUUUGUGCUUUUUCUA